GUUUCCGUAGUGUAGCGGUUAUCACGUCUGCUUCACACGCAGAAAGUCCCCGGUUCGAUCCCGGGCGGGAACA
rnacentral:tRNA from 1 species